rnacentral:tRNA from 1 species
GGUGGCUCAGGGGUAGAGUGCUUGCCUGGCAUGCAUGAGGCCCUGGGUUUGAUCCUCAGCACCU